UUUUAUUUUCUUUCAGUUUCUACUCUUUAACUACACCCUCUUCCAAUCGUUCAUGUUUAAGUUUGUUUCCACUGUUUUGUUUGCAGAUUUUUUAUUCGAUUGCUUUGAUUUUUAUUUCAAUUUUGCUGAUUUAUUUGGUAUUUGGGUUGUAGUAACGUUGCAUGCACUGAAUUUUGAGUUAUUGGAUGUUGCCGCUGCUUUUGCUCCUUCUCCUCUCCAUCUUCCGGUUUUUAGUUUCUACUUCGAGGAGAAAGGAGAGAAUUGCAAACUUGAGAUGCAGGGAUGAAGCAUAGGAAGCUCAUAUUAAAAAUUCUACCCAUUUUCUGGAGACAUUUCUAUGUUGUUAUACUGCAAGUACAUCGAGCUUACCAAAACCAAGAAAAUGUUGAACUGAAUGAGCUGAAAAUUCAACUCUCUUCGAGCUUAAUGGAGAUAAAACAAACAACAAGCUACCGAAUAUGCUGGAUUACCUUAGAGUGUACAUAUCUCCUUUCUCGGAAAUUGGAACUGACUAACACGUAACAAUGGGUAAGUUGGUAAACUGUUUUUAAUAAUUGAUAUUAUCCUAAACAAACUAGGAUUUUCAUGUGUUUAUAUGCAACGUGGUCUCAUUAUUUUCACCUUUAUAUUUCGGUACGGUCAGAACUAUUGUUAGCUUUGCUUACCAAUCAUUAAAUGCAAAAGUUGUGUAUGGACUGUGAUGCCUUAUACUUGAAGAUACCACGAUUGUGUUAAACUUGGAGAUGUAUGUUAGUUCCUCCGAUCGAGGCAGAUCAUUUCGAUUGCGUGUGCCCAUAGGUAAAUUUUAAAAUUCAUGAAAUUCAAUUGCAUUUAGUUCUAAGACUUGCCAAGGUGAGGAAUUGAAAUUUUACUUCUAUAUAAGAUGUGAAAUUAAAAGAGAGUAAAGUAUCUUAAUUGUUGUAUAGGUUCCUUUGGAAUGUUCUAAAAAUUUAUAAAUAUUAGGAGAGGAACUGCCGAGCCAUUUGAUGUUUCUGUGUUAUAUUUUGAGCACCCCAGUAUUGAUAUUAUGUCAUUUUUUGCACCGAAUAGAGUAUGCUUUAGUUGGCUUUAAAGAUGGUUCUGCAUUUUGCUACUUAAAGUGGCCAAUAGUAAUUACAUAUUGAGCUAAUUUUAUCGCAUCAUAGGUGGUUCAUUUUGUCUCAUCCUCCAAGAAAUGUAUUUAUCUUCAUGAAUGUCUAGUUUGUUUUUCUCAAUUUUUUUUUAUAAAUAUAUUUAUAAAAAAAUUAUUUGUAAAU